GCUCCUCUCACUCUUAUUAAUAACAACAAGGGUAAUAGUGGCCAAUGUUUGAGGGGUAUUCACAUGAUACCAAGUACAUCCCAUUUAAUCUUCACACCAGUUGUAUGAUACAGGCUUAAUAACUGAUCUUAUUUUACAGUUGAGUAAACUGAGGCUCAGAGAGGGUAGGUAAGCCUGAGAGAGGUGGGGUAUGUUGACCAAGGGUCAUAGCUAGUAGGUGGUGGAGACAACAUUUAAAUCUAGUCCUGUUUGGUGUCCGUGCUCUUAAACACGUGACUCUAUGACCUUGUUGUCUCUUUGGUUUCUCUUCCAAGGUUUCUGGCUUCGUCCAAAUGUUUGAUUCAACACAGCAGAAGCACACAGGCUGCUUUCAAGGGCAAAGAACCAAACUACAGGCUGUUGGGAGGACCCAGAGAAUGAACAAUGGGUUCUCCCGGACUUAUAAGAGUGGGAAGCACCACUGACCUGCAGACGAGGAUUGACAGAACAAAACAAACAGUAACGAUGGGGUGCAGACAGGCUACCCCCAAAAUAUGGUACCUCGGCAUAUUGAACAGUGUAAGCUGAAGGAAUUGGAAAAAAACACAUAAGCAGGAAGGUCUCUGUGACCUUUGUCCAGCCUUCUUUCCUGAGGCAGGUCCUAAAACCUAGAAGGCCUCUGUGACUGUCCGCUGCCGCAGGUCUUCAGGUGCUCAUGUGAGAGGUGCCCUCCCCACAUCUGGAGGAAAAGAGCAUCCUUACCUCUGAGGACACAGGACACAGAGAAAAAUCUGAACAAACAGGCCUGCCUAAGUUCCCCCAGCUUAUUACCGUUACAUCAUACUCUUUUCCCUUGCAUAUGUCUCCAUGACCAUCCACUCUUCAUCAAACCUACCAGAAAAAACAGGUUUCACUGUUUCUUCGGGUCUUCAUUUCCUUAUGAAGGCUCCCGUACCCACAAAACUUACAUUUAAAUAAAUUUAUAUUUUUUUCUUUUGUUCAUCUAUCUUUUAUUAGAGGGGCCUCAACAAUGAGUCUAGGAUGGGUGAGGAAAAUAUAUUUUUAGUCACUACAAUAACAGAUGCAUUAGUCAGAAGGGACAUGGAGCCUACUGGGGGACUGGAAAAAAGCUGGCUGGAUUAACCCACAUCCAGGCAUUGGGGACUUCAUACGGAUCCUCUGGCCUGAAUCAUUUGCAUUUCAUUGCAGGAUGGCAGCGCUUAACACGAAGGCAUUCCUUACCAACAAUGACCUAUCAUAAGGCACGUGGAGGGCUCAGGGUCACCAGCUGGGUACGGGAAGCCCCUGGAAACACCCUAUGAAGGCAGCAGCCUGCUCCAGACAGGGAACACAGACUGAGAGUGUGAACACAGACUGAGACUCUCGUUGGCUACAAAUGCUUCUGCAAGCCCUCCAUCUGCAGGAUUCAAGUUGUCAUGUUGGGAGUAGUCCUAUGGAGAGGCCCUGGUGGCAAGAAACUGAUGUCUCCAGCUCUCAGCAAGGACCCGAGGCCCGCCAACGACCACUGAUACUUCUUUAGAUUCAUCAUUCAGGGUGGCCAAUGACAACUGGAAGAGCGCGGUGGCUCACGCCUGUAAUCACAGCACUUUGGGAG